AGAGAAGGGUGUCCCAGAUGUAGGCAAAGCGUCCUCCAUGUGUUCCUGGAGGACCGUCCCAAGUCCUUCUCCAUUCUCCCAACCUCUUGGGCCUGGAAGUCAGACAAGUACCGGUGAUUGCCGGUUUCUUGUCUGAUUUUUGCACUUCUCUGGCAAGCUGCCCCCUCUGAAGAGUUGACUAUUUGGGAGUUACUCACUGAUGGUUCAGCCACUUCCAGAACCUACCCCAAGAGCAAGACUUGAAACCAACUCGCACCCUCAAAGCUCCGGAAGCCAUUCAGUGUUUCCAUCUUGGCUGAGUGAGUUCUUCACUGAAACUCAAUUUGACUUUGACAGUCAUCUAAUGAGAACUCAAAAGUCAUUCUUGGUUCAGCCACAGUCAAAGAACUUGCAGAGCAUUCUCUGACGAGGUCCUCAAGGACAACUGAGAGAAGGUCCCAUUCCAGGUCUUGCCCAAGUCUUUCUGAUUGGUGGGACUUAAAUCACACCCAAAAUUCCAGCUGCAGGAGAGCUCUGAGAUUUCAUCUUUCCAACCUCUGUGUGCUACGUGGGGGUUGGAGCACUUGCUGACAAGCCUUGCAACCACCAUUGACAGGAUGUCCUCCACCUUUUCAAUCUGAUUUGCUCUUUGCCAUGCAGACCUGUGGAUGAAGAGCCAGAGUCCUCCAAGGUGAAGCUGGACUGAAUAUUUCUGUCCAUAAGACUAUUAGAAUCCCCCAAAGUGGGAUACCAGUGAGGACCUCACCAGCAGCUGCUGUCUCUCCAAUGCAGAGCUUCCUGCCUCCUGCCCAGCCCCUGCUGUCAGAGAUACUUGGUGCUUCCAGUUCUGGAGACUUCCUUGAGUUCUGUGACUCAAAACAACUUCCUUCCCCUGUGGGCAUCAACAAUGAGAGAUCUUCAGAUGCGAUCAGGCACUCCAGUCCUUCCAUCUCCCACAAUGUUGGAGACCUGUGUUCCCUGCUGUAGAAACCUCUGCCAUUCCCUUUAUCUCUGAAGACAGAUGGACUUGACUGUCAGCUUAGCUUGGUUUCAGGAGGAAAGGAAGAUAAACCCCUGUGUUUAAGCUGCCGUGUUAAAUGGGAGGCACCUGGUCUUUUUUCUUUUUCUUUUUUAAAGACUGGGUCUCGCUCUGUUAUCCAAGCUGCAGUGCAGUGAUGUGAUCAUAGCUCACCUCAGCCUUGAACUCUCAGGCUCAAGCGAUCCUCCAGCCUCAGCCUCCUGAAUUGCUGGGAUUAUAGCACCUGGCCAAUUUUAAAAUCUUUCUGUAGCGACAGGAUCUCACUAUGUUGCCCAGGCUGGUCUUGAACCCCUGGCCUCAAGGAAUUCUCCCACAACCUCCCAAAGUGCUAAGAUUACAGGCAAGAGCCAUGGUGCCCAGCCACCUCUGGUCUUCCCUCAGUUUGCUUUCAUUAAAGGACAAACACAUGCCUUGCAAAA
rnacentral:lncRNA from 1 species